UACGUAGGGUGCAAGCGUUAAUCGGAAUACUGGGCGUAAGCGUGACGCAGGCGGUGAUGUAAGACAGUUGUGAAAUCCCCGGGCUCAACCUGGGAACUGCAUCUGUGACUGCAUCGCUGGAGUGCGGCAGAGGGGGAUGGAAUUCCGCGUGUAGCAGUGAAAUGCGUAGAUAUGCGGAGGAACACCGAUGGCGAAGGCAAUCCCCGUGGGC
rnacentral:rRNA from 1 species